ACUCCUACGGGAGGCAGCAGUGGGGAAUUUUGGACAAUGGGGGCAACCCUGAUCCAGCCAUUCCGCGUGAGUGGAGAAGGCCUUCGGGUUGUAAAGCUCUUUCGGACGGAACGAAACGGUCAGCGUGAAUAACGCUGACUAAUGACGGUACCGUAAGAAGAAGCACCGGCUAACUACGUGCCAGCAGCCGCGGUAAU
rnacentral:rRNA from 1 species